UACCCUAUUGGGUCUGCCCUAUAGCGGCUGUGCCCUAUGGGGGCUGUGCCCUAUGGCAGCUGUGCCCUAUGGGGGCUGUCCUAUAGGAGCUGCGUCUUAUGAGAGCUGUGUCCUAGGGGAUUUGUGCCCUAUUUGGGGCUGUGCCCUAUGGGGUCUGCCCUAUAGACACCAUAUUCUAUGGGGUCUGCUUUAUGGGUUCUGUGCCCUAUGGUGGCUCUGUGCUCUAUGGGGUCUGCCCUACGAGGUCUGCCCUAUAGGAGCCACACUCUAUGGGGGCUGUCCUUUAUGGGGGGCCGUGCCCUAUAGGGUCUGCCCUAGGGGAGCUGCUCUAUGGGAUCUGCGCCCUAUGGGGUCUGCCCCUCUUACCCACAGCCAGCCCCGGGUCGCUGUUCAUGGUCUGCACGAUCUCCAUGCCCUGAGAGCACGGCCGCGUUAGGGACAUCGCCACCACCCCCGUGUCACAUCCCCCCCCAUCCCCACA
rnacentral:lncRNA from 1 species